UCUCUUUGUUGUACUUUUUUGAGAAAAAAUGCUUUAUAUUGUCGGAUCGUUGGCGCUAACCAUUAAUCCCAGAAGCUCGAGCUGUUAGAAAUACGCAACCAAUUCACUUAAAGAAUACAGAUACAGCGCCCACGGCUCUCGAUUGUGACUCGUCCCAACCAGUCUUACGCCAUUUCGAAUAUGACUCGGCCCAACCCAGCCUCACGCCAUUUCGAAUAUGAUUCGGCUCACAUGGCCUUCCGCCACAGGACAAGAUGCUAGCCCAUUUAAGCCGCUCUCAAUUGUGACUCGAUUAUGACUCGGCCAACCAGCCUUACACCAUUUCGAACAUUACUCGGCCCUACCCAGCCUCACGCCAUUUCGAACAUGACUCAGCCCACAUAGCCUCCCGCCACAGGAUAAGAUGCUGGCCCAUUUAAGCCAACAAUCCCCCCUUCAGCACCUGUACAUAUAUUUACAAUAUACGGGAAUCGAAUCCGUGACCAUUGGCUCUGAUACCACUUGUCGGAUCGUUGGCGCUAACCAUUAAUUCCAAAAGCUCGGGCUGUUAGAAAUAUGCAACCAAUUCACUUAAAGCGUACAGAUACAACGCCCACGGCUCUCGAUUGUGACUCGGUCCAACCAACCUCACGGCCCUCACACCAUUUCGAACAUGACUCGGCCCAACCCAGCCUCACGCUAUUUCGAACAUGACUCGAUCCACAUGCCUCCCACCACAGGACAAUAUGCUGACUCAUUUAAACCAACAGAUAUUUUGUGCUAUUACUCUUUUUUCUUUUUUU
rnacentral:lncRNA from 1 species